rnacentral:rRNA from 1 species
CAGCCGCCACGGUAGUACGUAGGUGGCAAGCGUUGUCCGGAAUUAUUGGGCGUAAAGGGCUCGCAGGUGGUUUCUUAAGUCUGAUGUGAAAGCCCCCGGCUCAACCGGGGAGGGUCAUUGGAAACUGGGAAACUUGAGUGCAGAAGAGGAGAGUGGAAUUCCACGUGUAGCGGUGAAAUGCGUAGAGAUGUGGAGGAACACCAGUGGCGAAGGCGACUCUCUGGUCUGUAACUGACGCUGAGGAGCGAAAGCGUGGGGAGCGAACAGGAUUAGAUACCCCCGUAGUCCCUGUCUCUUAUAC